UGAAGAGUGUCUCAGUGUCAGUGAGCCCCUCUGGUGAAAUAGUGGAGGGCAGUUCAGUGACUCUGACCUGCAGCAGCGAUGCCAACCCACCAGUGCAGAACUACACCUGGGUUAAGAAGAAUGACAGUGGAGACUGGCAGGCAGGAUCUGGACAGAGUUUGAUCUUUUCUAACUUUAGAUCCUGGAACAGAGGACAGUACUACUGUGAGGCACAGAACAGACUUGGAGCUCAGAAUGCUUCUGCUCUACUGGUCUUAAUACAAGACUUGCAGACGGGAUCAGAACGGAUUGUGAGCUUUUCCAACUUUACAUCCUGGAGCUUUGGACAGUACUACUUCGUGGCACUGAACACACAUGGAGAUCAGAUCUCUGCUGGUAUGUCAAUCAAUAGACACACAGGAGAUAUGACAGCGCUUUUAUGGACGGUUGUUGGAAUCACAGUAGCUUUUGCACUCUUUACUGUCAUGGUGUGCACAAGGUAAAUGUAUGUAAUGCAAAAGCAUCUGGGUAUCAAUCAUCACUGAGAAGACAUGAUUAUAGAAAUUCACGAUUAGAUAUCAGAGAUAUGCAAUAUUUUUACUAAUUUGCU